rnacentral:lncRNA from 12 species
GCCAGCAAAAUGCGUAGCGUCACAUAUUCCAUCUCUCAGAAGGAACUCUCAGACUCCUGGGGACGAGUGCGCAGCGUGACUUGACUUCAUUCGUGAAGCUUUCAUGUCCCUCCAAGUCCCCACGGCCCAGGUUUCCUUCGAUUCUGCGAAGUCCAUCUCUCCGGGGGCACAGCGAGAAGAGCAGGAGCUGUUUGACUUUGCAGGUGCCUGGCAGUCAGUGACGUCACAGCGUGAAGCCUCCCCCCAGCAGGUGAGGCUGAUGUAAAGGACCCAGUGAAACGCCCAGGCUCAGACAUGCCAGCCUGCCUUGGCCUUUCGCACGAAAAUGUUGCCCCUGAGGACCGGCCUCAAAGAGCUUCCAACUCUAGGGAAGGGGGUGGCUUCUGCUCCCCCAGAGCCAGAUGCACGGGAGUUGUGGGGAGAUGCAAGAUGUCCAGCCGCUACUUUGAUAGGUCUUUAAAAAUUAAAGUAGCCUCAGCUUUAGAAGCUAAGAGCGAUUUCCAGGAGAUUAACAAGGAAAAUUAUUUAUCUUCCUUUUUGAACUAGCAUGUUCAUAAUGGCAGAGGAGAAUAAACAUAAGAUAGCAGUGAGUGCUUCUGUCCCGUGAGCCCGUGAGUUUCCCUUUAUCUAUUCAGGAACAUUCUCUUCUCUUCUGGGAGCCUUUUGAUCUUUUAGGGAGAAAAGAGCAUUUGAUGGCAUUGAACUGCUCAGCCGGGCAGCCCUCGGGAGGGGACUGUGUCCCAGGGCCUUUGAGUAGCUUUGGGGCUGUUCUCCUGUCCCAGAUCCUUGACCUGCCUGAUAUCCAAGUUUCUCCUCCACCUCCACCGCAAUUGCUGUUAGAUCAAUUCAGGAACAUUCUAUUCAGAAACCAGCCGUGGCCAAGUCACUUCCUGGCCCCUGAGAAGCCUCGAGGCCACCUUCCAUCAGAGGAAUAUCAGAAGCGGCACAUCCUGACGGCUCCGCACCAGGCUCAGGAGCAGUUGGGUCUUCCCUUCCUGCCCAUGGCGGAUCUGAACUAAUUUCUCAGCUGUAAUCUACACCACCCACCACCUAGGAGCUUCCCAGAAAUGUCCAGCAGGGGAGGGGGCGGGCGAGUAGCAACGCUCUGACUCUUGGCAGGGCCUGCCCAGCGGCCGACUCCACUUCCAGGCUGUUCUGGCUUCAAAAUUCACUUAGACGAUCUCCUCGAAAUAAGCAAAAAAUAUUGGCAGCAAACGGUUGGAUGAAAAGGUCCCAGUUUUACGAGAGGACAGAAUGAAUGUGUUGCGGGAUCGGCCUGCAGAGGGAGGGCGUGGGUCAGGGUGCUUGUGGCGGCCACGAGCACUGGCCUGGUCUUCACGUUUCCAUAUCUUCUUCAUCCUGCAUGGUUUUUUCAUUAGUUUGUUCUUAAAAAAAAUCAUAUUAGGAAAUUUAAAUGCAUGUUACCAAGUGACAGAAGCUGGUCUGAAAAUACUGUGUGCUGUACGAUUGCACCUGUACGACCUCCUGGAAAAGGCACGACCGUGGAGGCAGUAAAAAGAGGAGUUUUUGCUUGGGACUAGAGGGGAAGGAGGGACGAGUACGCAGAAUAGAGGGCAGCUUUAGGGCAGUGACACUACUCCGUAUGACACUGCACUGGUAGAUAGACGUCAUCGUGCAUUUGUCUAAACUCAAAGAAGGUACAACAGCAAGUGUGAGCCCUAAGGUAAGCCAUGGAUUUGGGGUGAUGAUGAUGUGUCCGUAGAAUCAUCCAUUAUGACGAGUGUACCACUGUGGGGAUCUUGAUCACGGGGACGUCUGUGCAUGUGUAGGACAGGGGCGUUUGGGAAAUCUCUGUACCCGCCUCUCGGUUUUGCCACGAAACUAAACUUGCUCUGAAAAGUGAAGCCUAGCAAAAAUAUAUCACACUAAAAUGUUAUUUUUUUUUUUUUACUAAAAUGUUAUUUAUCUGGGAAGUUACUAGAAUAUGGGUGUAGAGUACCAGUUUUGCAAAAUGAAAAGUGUUCUGGGGAUGGAUAGCGGUGAUAGUUGCGCAGGUGCUUGCCACUGAACCAUGUUCUUAAAAACGAUUAAAAGGAAAAUGUUAUGUCAUUUAAUUGUGUUGCACUACAAUUAAAAAUGUUACCGGGAUCCCAGGGCGCAAUCCUGGAGACCCGGGAUCGAGUCCCACGUCGGGCUCCCGGUGCAUGGGGCCUGCUUCUCCCUCUGCCUAUGUCUCUGCCUCUCUCUCUCUCUCUCUCUGUGACUAUCAUAAGUAAAUAAAAAAAUUAAAAAAAAAAGAAUGAUAUUAAAA